rnacentral:rRNA from 1 species
AUUGAACGCUGGCGGCAGGCCUAACACAUGCAAGUCGAACGGUAACAGGAAGCAGCUUGCUGCUUCGCUGACGAGUGGCGGACGGGUGAGUAAUGUCUGGGAAACUGCCUGAUGGAGGGGGAUAACUACUGGAAACGGUAGCUAAUACCGCAUAACGUCGCAAGACCAAAGAGGGGGACCUUAGGGCCUCUUGCCAUCGGAUGUGCCCAGACGGGAUUAGCUAGUAGGUGGGGUAACGGCUCACCUAGGCGACGAUCCCUAGCUGGUCUGAGAGGAUGACCAGCCACACUGGAACUGAGACACGGUCCAGACUCCUACGGGAGGCAGCAGUGGGGAAUAUUGCACAAUGGGCGCAAGCCUGAUGCAGCCAUGCCGCGUGUAUGAAGAAGGCCUUCGGGUUGUAAAGUACUUUCAGCGGGGAGGAAGGGAGUAAAGUUAAUACCUUUGCUCAUUGACGUUACCCGCAGAAGAAGCACCGGCUAACUCCGUG